rnacentral:rRNA from 1 species
GACGACGCUGGCGGCGUGGAUUAGGCAUGCAAGUCGAACGGUAUCAUCCUUCGGGGGUGAGAGAGUGCGGAACUGGUGAGUAACACGUUAGGUUAUCGUACCCUCAAAGACGGGGACAACCCAGGGAAACUUGGGCUAAUACCGGAUGUGAGCAACUUUUAGUUGUUUGAAAGGUGGCGUAAGCUGUCGCUUGGGGAUGAGCCUGCGUCCUAUUAGUUAGUUGGUGAGGUAACGGCUCACCUAGGCAAUGAUAGGUAGGCGGCCUUAACGGGUGGUCGCCCACACUGGGAUUGAGAUACGGCCCAGACUCCUACGGGAGGCAGCAGUCGAGAAUAGUCUACAAUGGUCGGAAGACUGAUAGUGCGACGCCGCGUGAACGAUGAAUCCCUUCGGGGUGUAAAGUUCUUUUAUAUGUGAGCAGUGCUUCUUAUAUUAACAGUAUGGGGAGAGAGAUAUUAGCAUAUGAAUAAGCAACGGCUAACUCCGUG